CUUUUAAUGCGCCCGGGAUUAGAAAAGCCUGGCUUACUCCUAGACUAAUGUUCUUUUCCCUGCAAACGCUGCCUCUGAAGACACAACUAAGUCUUCCAGCACAAUAGAGAACACCUAAGGAGUGACCAGGCAGAGUUAUCAUGAAGAUUGCCCAAAAGCACUGACUCACCAAGACCCCUGGCUCCAAGGCAUAUGUGACCUACAGAAGACACCUCAACACUCAUCUUUGCUCCUGGAUGCCCGAGCAGACACACACACUGGACCACAAUCCUCAGUACAAACCCCAGGUCCCAAGCAAAGACGAGGCUCACCCUUCUUUCCUUUCUGAGUCUCCCAGACACUCUGUAUCUGCAUUCUCUCUAGGUCUUCAAUACCUUCUGCUCUCACUGCCUCUUGACUCAGGUUUGAUUUCUAUCCUGUGCAAAGCCAAGGACCCUCUUGAUGGGUCCUGCAAGAAUCCCUUCCGGGUCCUCGGACCCAGCCAGCCUGCAUGAUAUUGAUGCAGGUUUGGUUAAAUAAAUUAUGAUAUGGAAUAUUGUGAAGCCCUCAAAAUGAUGGCAUGUCUAUUGUUGACAAGGAAAGAUGUCCACAUUAUAGUAACUGGGGGAAACAAUUAGGUUACAGUAUAGUGAAUAGAGCUUUCAUAAGUCUGGAAACCAAAAAUGUUUAUAUUUAUCUCUGGGUGGUGACAAUAUAGAAUAUUUUUUUUUCAUUUUUGCUUACCUAUAUUUUCUAGUUUUUCUACUAGAGUAAUGAAAAAAGGCAGAUAAAAAUAAGCUCAUGAGACAGAAGAUUAGAAUAUGGCCUGACAGAGAAAACAUUUAAAUACAGUACUGUGGCAUUUUCAUUUACCGAGAAUUAUAUUUAUAGCUUACUUCAAAACAUGAAUACUUUGCAGCACAUUUCAAAUGUUAUUCUGUAAAAUUUAUAAUGAAAGACUAAAAGUGUGAUCACAGAUAUUGUUCCUUAAAAUUAAAAUUCAUAGUAGUUCUCUUUUCUCUGCAUGUGUCAUUGUCUUUGGUCAUACAUUUUCUCAAACCCAAGUGAAGAUUUUUCCUCAUUCGAAUGCCAGUUUUAGGGAGUACUCUGUGUUGUCUUGCUUUAUUUUUUAAAUUAGGAUUGGAAAACGUUUCGAUCAUUGUUCCACUUAAAAUUUCCAAUAAAAACAAUUUGAAGAAUGGGUAA